UACGUAGGGUGCAAGCGUUAAUCGGAAUUACUGGGCGUAAAGCGUGCGCAGGCGGUUAUGUAAGACAGGUGUGAAAUCCCAGGGCUUAACCUUGGAACUACAUUUGUGACUGCAUAGCUAGAGUACGGUAGAGGGGGAUGGAAUUCCGCGUGUAGCAGUGAAAUGCGUAGAUAUGCGGAGGAACACGAUGGCGAAGGCAAUCCCCUGGACCUGUGAC
rnacentral:rRNA from 1 species